UAUUAAUUGCUUUGGCAGAAAAGGUGUAGUGAAUUUAGAAUUCAUAUAUGUAAUUAAUUAUUACAAGUAAUA
rnacentral:tRNA from 1 species